rnacentral:rRNA from 1 species
GACGAACGCUGGCGGCGUGCUUAACACAUGCAAGUCGAACGGAAAGGCCCUGCUUUUGUGCGGUGCUCGAGUGGCGAACGGGUGAGUAACACGUGAGUAACCUGCCAUUGACUUUGUGAUAACUUCAGGAAACUGGGGCUAAUACCGGAUAGGAGCUCCUGCGGCAGGGUGGGCGUUGGAAAGUUUAGGCGGUUGGGGAUGGACUCGCGGCUUAUCAGCUUGCUCGGGGGGUAGUGGCUUACCAAGGCUUUGACGGGUAGCCGACCUGAGAGGGUGACCGGCCACAUUGGUACAGAGCUAAGGCCCAGACUCGUACAGGAAGCGAAAGUGGUGAGUAGUAGACAGUGGAAGGCGGGCUGGUGCAGCAACGCAGCGUGCGGGAUGACGGGCAUCGGGUAGUAUCGCGAUUUCGCCUGUGACGGAGUGUGAAUGACGGUAAUGGGUAAAGAAGCACCGGCUAACUACGUG